rnacentral:rRNA from 1 species
CCUACGGGUGGCAGCAGUGAGGAAUAUUGGUCAAUGGCCGUAAGGCUGAACCAGCCAAGUCGCGUGAAGGAAGAAGGAUCUGUGGUUUGUAAACUUCUUUUAUAGGGGAAUAAAGGUAUCCACGUGUGAAUAUUUGCAUGUACCCUAUGAAUAAGCAUCGGCUACCUCCGUGCCAGCAGCCGCGGUAAUACGGAGGAUGCGAGCGUUCUCCGGAUUUAUUUGGGUUAAAGGGUGCGGAGGUUGUUGUUUAAGUAAGAGGGUAAAGUUUGUGGCUCAACCAUAAAACUGCCGUUGAAACUGGAAGACGUGAGUGGGUUUGAGGUAGGCGGAAUGCGCGGUGUAGCGGUGAAAUGCAUAGAUAGCACGCAGAACUCCGAUUGCGAAGGCAGCUUACUAAGCCAUAACUGACACUGAAGCACGAAAGCGUGGGGAUCAAACAGGAUUAGAUACCCUGGUAGUC